ensembl:lncRNA
GCAAAAACGUGCUAGGUCAAAAGUCACGGAGGAUGGCGGACUGGUGUGAACUUCAGUCAAUUCUGCUCAUUUUAGCAGAUCAGAUAGAGAGGGAUCAUUUACCUGUAGAUACUGUUUUGAGUCGUUUAGAUGAUGUUUCUGAAAUGCUUGGGAUGAUAAUUGCUCUUCAAGAUGUUAGCAUCGAUGACAACAUUGUCGAAAGUUUAAGAUCAAUUCAGCACCGUGUUCGUUUGGAAUACGCCGAGGAAGAACUGUCUUCAAAUGUUGGUCGUCCAGGUCUUGAAAUCCCGGCUGCAGCACUCAGGACUUUAGUGCUGUCCGGGAUAACCAUCGGGGUAAUUGCCGAUAUGUUUUCUGUCUCCGAGCACAAUUAGGAGGAGAACGACGGGGGAAGGUCUAAGAAAGUCUGAUAGGUACUCUUCUAUUGGAGAUGAAGACUUGGAUGCAAAAGUGCUGGACAUUCAGCGUCAUCACCCAAAUGCCGGCUGCAGAAUGAUGAUGGGACAUCUACGAUCCAGAGGCAUAUACAUUCAAAGAUUUCGACUGAUGGAUUCAAUGAGACGAGUCAAUCCAGAAGGGGUCGUGAUGCGACGGUUAUCUAUUCAGACUGCAAGGCGUCGUCAGUACAGUGUACCAGCACCAAGUCACCUUUGGCAUAUCGAUGGAAAUCAUAAACUAAUUCGGUCAGUACUUGCAUCAGAGGGUGAGCAGCACCAAGUUCCUG